UACGUAGGCAGCAAGCGUUGUUCGGAGUUACUGGGCGUAAAGGGUGUGUAGGCGGUCUCGUAAGUCUGGUGUGAAAUCUCCCGGCUCAACUGGGAGGGUGCGCCGGAAACUGCGAGGCUAGAGUGUGGGAUGGGAGAGUGGAAUUCCUGGUGUAGCGGUGAAAUGCGUAGAUAUCAGGAGGAACACCUGCGGUGUAGACGGCUCUCUGGACCACUACUGACGCUGAGUGAGCGAAAGCCAGGGGAGCAAACGGG
rnacentral:rRNA from 1 species